AUUGAACGCUGGCGGCAGGCUUAACACAUGCAAGUCGAACGAGUGGCGGACGGGUGAGUAAUGAUUGGGAAUCUAGCUUAUGGAGGGGGAUAACUAAGGGAAACUGUAGCUAAUACCGCGUACAAUAGGAUGAGCCCAAGGUGGAGUAGGUAGUUGGUGAGGUAAUGGCUCACCAAGCCGACGAUCUCUAGCUGGUCUGAGAGGAUGACCAGCCACACUGUGACUGAGACACGGCCCAGACUCCUACGGGAGGCAGCAGUGGGGAAUAUUGCGCAAUGGGGGCAACCUGACGCAGCCAUGCCGCGUGAAUGAAGAAGGCCUUCGGGUUGUAAAGUACUUUCAGUCGGGAGGCGUUAACUACAGAAGAAGCACCGGCUAACUCCGUGCCAGCAGCCGCGGUAAUAC
rnacentral:rRNA from 1 species